UACGUAGGGUGCAAGCGUUGUCCGGAAUUAUUGGGCGUAAAGAGCUCGUAGGCGGCUUGUCGCGUCGUCCGUGAAAACCUGCGGCUCAACUGCAGGCUGGCGGUCGAUACGGGCAGGCUGGAGUUCGGUAGAGGAGACUGGAAUUCCUGGUGUAGCGGUGAAAUGCGCAGAUAUCAGGAGGAACACCGGUGGCGAAGGCGGGUCUCUGGGCCGAUACUGACGCUGAGGAGCGAAAGCGUGGGGAGCGAACAGG
rnacentral:rRNA from 1 species